rnacentral:rRNA from 1 species
UGGGGAAUAUUGCACAGUGGGGAAACCCUGAUGCAGCGACGCCGCGUGAGUGAAGAAGUAUUUCGGUAUGUAAAGCUCUAUCAGCAGGGAAGAAAACAAUGACGGUACCUGACUAAGAAGCCCCGGCUAACUACGUGCCAGCAGCCGCGGUAAUACGUAGGGGGCAAGCGUUAUCCGGAUUUACUGGGUGUAAAGGGAGCGUAGACGGUAGACCAAGUCUGAAGUGAAAGCCCGGGCUCAACCCCGGACUGCUUUGGAAACUGGUAAACUAGAGUGCAGGAGAGGUAAGUGGAAUUCCUAGUGUAGCGGUGAAAUGCGUAGAUAUUAGGAGGAACACCAGUGGCGAAGGCGGCUUACUGGACUGUAACUGACGUUGAGGCUCGAAAGCGUGGGGAGCAAACAGGAUUAGAUACCCUGGUAGU